UACGGAGGGUCCGAGCGUUGUCCGGAAUUAUUGGGUUUAAAGGGUGCGUAGGUGGUUAGAUAAGUCAGGGGUGAAAUCCUCCCGCUCAACGGGAGAACUGCCCUUGAUACUGUUUAACUUGAGUAUACUAAAGGUAGGCGGAAUUGAUGGUGUAGCGGUGAAAUGCAUAGAUAUCAUCAGGAACUCCGAUAGCGAAGGCA
rnacentral:rRNA from 1 species